AUGGAUGCUCACCCAGAGCACCAGCAUUACAACAACAUAUGCUUUUUGUGUCCCCUUGCAACCUUCUAGUUUUGAAGGGAAAAAAAAAUUGUGGAGACUUCAGGGACCAGAGUUGGGAACUGCAAUGAUGGGCUCUCUCUUAAAGGGCUUUAUCCAGCAGAGAAAUACAGUCAGGCAAUUUCAAAUACAGCUGUGUGACCAUUGGUUUCGAGGAACACUACGGUUCUAUUUGCACUCAUGAGGAUCAGUUCUUGGUCACUGAUUUUACUGAGCUGUGCUUGCAACAAAGGGAGGCUGGAAACUGCUUUAUAUUACACUGAAAAGAAGAGGAGAAAGGGGGUGUUGGUACACAGUACAUGGGGAAUACAUGCGUGGUCCUGGGCAGAAAUCAACAUAUUCAUGUGGUAUAACCCCCAGUGAGGUGACUUGCUGAAACGUGUACCAGAAACACAAGUAGGAUGCAGCUUCUGCACAUCUCAGAACAGAAUCCAGUUCUCUCCCUGAUCCCACUGGUGGGAUGAGCAGAUGUGUGGAGCUUGACUCCUGGCUGGAGUAACAGUGAUUAAAAUAUCCUGUAUACCUCCCUUCUCAUCUGAAAAAUCUAAUAUGUUUCAUUUCCUCACAUGAGAUGUGAUGCCAAGAAAUCUUCAAGUAGGAGAAAGCACCCACUGCCAGGUACUGUAGGGUGGUGACUAUAUUUCUUCAACAUUACUUUCCUGUUAAAAGUUAUUAGGAAUGCACAGUUGCAAUUUUGCACCACUUUUGACCCAGGCUGUAGCUUUGUUCAAUAAACAUCACUGACCACACCAUGAAAUAUCUAUCCAGCCAAAAAGGUAACUCAUUAAAUGUGUAUUUUUAGUAAGUAAUAGUCAGGAAAAAAAUAUGAAACUGAAAACUCAAGAGCACUAGAAGCCCUGCUAAAGAAGAAAAAUGAACCUUUUAGUAGUGUUUGUAUUAGAGACUUGUAUCAACGAUCCUGAUGCAAACUGAAGUAAAAUCUCAGCAGCCAACUCUAAUACAUGCUGCAGAGGAUUUGGAAAGAUCAAUAUUUUGACACCUUUUUUUUGGCUAAACUCAAAUUAAGACCCAAAUCCUAUGCAUUACAAAAUGUUCCCAUACCCUAAGGAGUUCUCCCAUUUGCUCCUGCUCCCAGUAAUUCAAAGCCCCCUUUAAAGCAGAUGUUUGUGCAGAUCUAUUUAAAAUAAAAGAAACAUGGGUUCCAGUUUCCUCUUGGGUAUCAUUCUAGGCCUGGGGAAAUUCAAGUCAGGUAGAAUACUUUUCUUCUGCUGACAGGAGAAAUCCCAGUUCCACAAAACAAAGCUGCACAUAAGUCCCCAAACAUGGGACAGCUGCACCAGAUCUGGCAAGUAACCAGAAUGCACAAACUGAGCUCUGUCCCUAAUGAUGAAGUUCAAGGAAAUGGCCUUAAUUGGUCCCUUUGAAAAUGCCAAAGAAUUGAGAAAAGCUGAUGAGCCAACGAUGACCGUGGAAACAAGCCACUACAGCCACUCAGCCAAAAACAAGAAAAGCGAUGAGUUGGCCAAAACACUGAAUCAAAAGGCAGCUGAAUCUUCUUGUACCCACAAUGCUCUUCUGUGUUAAAAUCCAUUCUAGCUAUAAGCCAAGAGACCUGUCUUCUUGUCCAACCCCUCACCCCCUUUUUUCCCUUCAAAUUGUUGUUUAAAUCAUAUUCUUUAGUUGUAGUUUACAGUUCUCUCCCUCACUGUAAGACAUCAAAUACUGAUGCUCUUACUCUGUAUAUACCUCACCCACCUCACUCUG